AACGAACGCUGGCGGCAUGCCUAACACAUGCAAGUCGAACGAAGGCUUCGGCCUUAGUGGCGCACGGGUGCGUAACGCGUGGGAAUCUGCCCUUUGGUUCGGAAUAACAGCUGGAAACGGCUGCUAAUACCGGAUGAUGACGAAAGUCCAAAGAUUUAUCGCCAGAGGAUGAGCCCGCGUUGGAUUAGGUAGUUGGUGGGGUAAAGGCCUACCAAGCCGACGAUCCAUAGCUGGUCUGAGAGGAUGAUCAGCCACACUGGGACUGAGACACGGCCCAGACUCCUACGGGAGGCAGCAGUGGGGAAUAUUGGACAAUGGGCGCAAGCCUGAUCCAGCAAUGCCGCGGGAGUGAUGAAGGCCCUAGGGUUGUAAAGCUCUUUUACCCGGGAAGAUAAUGACUGUACCGGGAGAAUAAGCCCCGGCUAACUCCGUG
rnacentral:rRNA from 1 species